UACAGAGGUCUCAAGCGUUGUUUCGGAUUCAUUGGGCGUAAAGGGUGCGUAGGUGGCGCUGUAAGUCGGGUGUGAAAUUUCGGAGCUUAACUCCGAAACUGCAUUCGAUACUGCGGUGCUUGAGGACUGGAGAGGAGACUGGAAUUCAUGGUGUAGCAGUGAAAUGCGUAGAGAUCAUGAGGAAGACCAGUGGCGAAGGCGGGUCUCUGGACAGUUCCUGACACUGAGGCACGGAAGGCCCAGGGGGAGCAAACGGGA
rnacentral:rRNA from 1 species